rnacentral:rRNA from 1 species
ACAGAGGGUGCGAGCGUUGUCCGGAAUCACUGGGCGUAAAGGGCGCGUAGGCGGCUUCUUAAGCGUGCGGUGAAAGCCCGGGGCUCAACCCCGGGUCGGCCGUGCGAACUGGGGAGCUGGAGCACUGUAGAGGCAGGCGGAAUUCCGGGUGUAGCGGUGGAAUGCGUAGAGAUCCGGAAGAACACCGGUGGCGAAGGCGACCUGCUGGGCAGUGGCUGACGCUGAGGCGCGACAGCGUGGGGAGCAAACAGGA